UUCAGGUUUCAGAAAGUUAAUUACCUACAGAAGGAACAGUAGCGUUGGCAUUAAUCCUUUCUGAAGUGAAAAAGAUUGGCUGCUACCUUGGAUUUGCCUUGACGUGGCAGUGUCUGCUCCAGAAAUGCACGGAUGAAAAGAAAAGCAAAAAGAUAAGGGCUCUGGAUUCAUUAAUAGGGAUGAUACAGAAAUUCCCAUAUGAAGACCCCACAUAUGAUAAGCUGCAAGAAGAUCUGGAAAAAAUCAGAGGAAAAUUUAAACAGGUUUGUAGGAUUAAGUUGUUAUUUUAGCACAAAAUGGCAUUACUUUCUGAAAAUAUUUAGUCUCUACAUCUGCUCAAAAAUACAGUAUUUGUGCGGAGCGAUUAUUGUUCUCCUUUUGGAAUCAUAGUAAAAAUACUUCAAAUAAAGUGAAUUAAGUGAAAAUGCUUGAAAAUUCCCUAACCUAACAAAUGCAAUAUAAAGGAAAAGUAUCCUUUAAAUGAAUUGAAAAUAUUAUUUGACAAUGAAUUACAAAUGGAACCAGAAGAAGAGAAAUGGAGAAAUUGGGAGUUUUGUUGGACGUUCUUCUUGAAAAAUAGAUGCUUUGAAACGCUUU